GGGCCCGCACAAGCGGUGGAGCAUGUGGUUUAAUUCGAUGAUACGCGAGGAACCUUACCCGGGCUUGAAAUUGAGCGGAAUGGCGAUGAAAGUUGCCAGUCAGCAAUGACCGCUUAGUAGGUGCUGCAUGGUUGUCGUCAGCUCGUGCCGUGAGGUGUCGGCUUAAGUGCCAUAACGAGCGCAACCCUUGCCAAUAGUUACCAGCAGUAAGAUGGGGACUCUAUUGGGACUGCCACCGUAAGGUGUGAGGAAGGUGGGGAUGACGUCAAAUCAGCACGGCCCUUACGUCCGGGGCGACACACGUGUUACAAUGGGUGGUACAGAGGGUUGCUACUGCGCGAGCAGAUGCCAAUCUCCAAAAACCAUUCUCAGUUCGGAUCGGAGUCUGCAACUCGACUCCGUGAAGCUGGAUUCGCUAGUAAUCGCGCAUCAGCCAUGGCG
rnacentral:rRNA from 1 species